UACGUGAGUGGCAAGCGUUAUCCGGAAUUACUGGGCGUAAAGAGCGCGUAGGCGUUUUGAAAAGUCAGAGGUGAAAAGUCAGGGCUUAACCUUGGCCUUGCCUUUGAAACUAUCAGAAUAGAGUUUUGGAUAGGAGGGUGGAACUACAAGUGUAGCGGUGGAAUGCGUAGAUAUUUGUAGGAAUGCCGAUGACGAAGGUAACUCUCUGGACAAUAACUGACGCUGAGGUGCGAAAGCUAGGGGAGCAAACAGG
rnacentral:rRNA from 1 species